rnacentral:rRNA from 1 species
GACGAACGCUGGCGGCGUGCUUAACACAUGCAAGUCGAACGAAGUGGCGAACGGGUGAGUAACGCGUAAUCAACCUGCCCUUCAGAGGGGGACAACAGUUGGAAACGACUGCUAAUACCCCAUACUGAAGGAGGGGAUUGCGUCUGAUUAGCUAGCUGGAGGGGUAACGGCCCACCAAGGCGAUGAUCAGUAACCGGGUUUGGGAGGUGGACGGCCACAUUGGGAAUGGGACAAGGCCCAGACUCCUACGGGAGGCAGCAGUGGGGGAUCUUCCGCAAUGGACGAAAGUCUGACGGAGCAACGGCGCGUGAGUGGUGACGGCCUUCGGGGUGUAAAGCUCUGUUAAUCGGGACGCGGUACCGGAAUAGGAAGCCACGGCUAACUACGUGCCAGCAGCCGCGGUAAUAC